CUUACGGUGGAUACCUAGAUACCUAGAGAUGAGGAAGGGCGUAGUAAUCGAUGAAAUGCUUCAGGGAGUAGAAAAUAAGCAUAGAUCCAGAGAUUCUUGAAUAAGGCAACCUUUCGAACUGCUGCUGAAUCCAUGGGUAGGCAAGAGGCAACCUGGCGAACUGAAACAUCUUAGUAGCUAGAGAAAAAGAAAGCAAAAGCAAUUCCCGUAGUAGCGGAGAGCGAAAUGGGAGCAUCCUAAACCGUGAAAAGAGGUUGUGGGAGAGCAAUACAAGCAUCAUGCUGCUAGGUGAAGCAACUUGAAUGCUACACCCUAGAUGGCAAAAGUCCAGUUGCCAAAAGCAUCACUAGCUUAUGCUCUAACCCGAGUAGCAUGGGGUACGUGGAAUCCCGUAUGAAUCAGCAAGGACCACCUUGCAAGGCUAAAUACUCCUGGGUGACCGAUAGCAUAGUAGUACCGUGAGGGAAGGGUGAAAAGAACCCUCAUCGGGGAGUGAAAUAGAACAUGAAACCAUAAG
rnacentral:ncRNA from 1 species